GACGAGGUAUGUGACGUGAAUGAAAACCUAGUGAGGUUCUAAGGUCAAUGACCAGUUAGAGUUUGUUACUGCAGUGCAUAAUAAUUCCUGGGGGGUUUGUUUGAUGAGAGCAUCAUUAAUUUGUCUGAUUUUAAUGUUUACGGAUUAUCACAGGUGAUUACAGCCAAGGAGGAAUAUGUGCCCAACUUUUAUUUGAACUAAUAUAAGGAUAUAUAAAGGCUCUGUUAACAUUAUGAAGCAAGUCAUGCUGACCUUCUUUCCUUUUUUCAGUGCAUCAUGCGUUGCCUACAACACCAGGUGAAAGUGAGGCCAAGCAUCAGGAAACAGAGAGCUGCAUUCAAGAGAGUGAAAAUGAGGGACAGCAGAUGUUUCCAUAUAAAUUGGCAGAAUUUGAGUAAGCUGUUGUCUAAGGGUUAAAGAAAUCCUUCAUUCUAGAUGUUGUUUAGGAUAUUGUUUCGAUGCAGGUUUCCAAUUUGCAUGUUUGUUUGUUUGGGUUUUUUUUGGGGGGGGUUGUAUGUUUGGGUUUUUUUUUUUUUUUUUUUUUUUUUUGUUGUUGUUGAAUGACUGCAACUUUAGGAUUUACAUUUAAUCUUUCUUUUUUUUUAAUGAUGUAUGGUGAGAAAUUCUUCAAGGCUGACAUGUUUUAUGAUUUCUAAUAUCUCUUGUCUACUUAGCCCUCUUUUUCUGGAGGAAGAUGAAGCUCUUGAAGAAGCAAUUCAGCAUAGCCUCCUAGAAGAGUCUGAUAGACUGAGUCAAGUGAUGAUUUAGAAUCAUAUAGUCGCUAUUCCCAUGAAAUUCAGUACGUCUCAACAUGUUAAAUAAAACUUCUCUAUUGACUCGAUCAAUGCUCUCCUUAAGAGACAUCAUUUGAUUUUCCUCCUCUUCUUGUUUCUCCUUCUUAUUUCUUAAAUAUAUAUAUCUACUUACAUUUUCAUUGUAUUUCAUAUUCUUAGCAUGAUUUAAUUCUCUCGCUUUAAAUUUAAAAAAUUUACACAUGCGUUGUUUA
ensembl:lncRNA